UACGUAGGGAGCAAGCGUUGUUCGGAUUUACUGGGCGUAAAGGGCGCGUAGGCGGCAAUUCAAGUCACUUGUGAAAUCUCCGGGCUUAACCCAGAACGGUCAGCUGAUACUGCGGGGCUAGAGUGCAGAAGGGGCAACUGGAAUUCUCGGUGUAGCGGUGAAAUGCGUAGAUAUCGAGAGGAACACCUGCGGCGAAGGCGGGUUGCUGGGCUGACACUGACGCUGACAGCGCGAAAGCUAGGGGAGCGAACGGG
rnacentral:rRNA from 1 species